rnacentral:rRNA from 1 species
CUCUGGUCCGUGAUCCGGAUCGAGGACAGUGUAUGGUGGGCAGUUUGACUGGGGCGGUCUCCUCCUAAAGAGUAACGGAGGAGUACGAAGGUGCGCUCAGACCGGUCGGAAAUCGGUCGUAGAGUAUAAAGGCAAAAGCGCGCUUGACUGCGAGACAGACACGUCGAGCAGGUACGAAAGUAGGUCUUAGUGAUCCGGUGGUUCUGUAUGGAAGGGCCAUCGCUCAACGGAUAAAAGGUACUCCGGGGAUAACAGGCUGAUACCGCCCAAGAGUUCAUAUCGACGGCGGUGUUUGGCACCUCGAUGUCGGCUCAUCACAUCCUGGGGCUGAAGCCGGUCCCAAGGGUAUGGCUGUUCGCCAUUUAAAGUGGUACGCGAGCUGGGUUUAGAACGUCGUGAGACAGUUCGGUCCCUAUCUGCCGUGGACGUUUGAGAUUUGAGAGGGGCUGCUCCUAGUACGAGAGGACCGGAGUGGACGAACCUCUGGUGUUCCGGUUGUCACGCCAGUGGCAUUGCCGGGUAGCUAUGUUCGGAAAAGAUAACCGCUGAAAGCAUCUAAGCGGGAAACUUGCCUCAAGAUGAGAUCUCACUGGGAACUUGAUUCCCCUGAAGGGCCGUCGAAGACUACGACGUUGAUAGGCUGGGUGUGUAAGCGUUGUGAGGCGUUGAGCUAACCAGUACUAAUUGCCCGUGAGGCUUGACCAU